GAACGGAUGCGCUGCCAGUUGUCAGUGUGGCUUAUGUGGCACCCAGCCAAACAGCUUAGAGUCAGAGACUUCUCCAAGGAAUUUUUAGGCACACCCACUGGGAUGACAGGUGCCUCGUGAAGCCGUUAAAAUCCUAAUCCUGACGGCGAUGACGGGGGCCGAGCGAGAUGAACGAGAGGGCUUGUGAGGACACCGCCGGGGGAGUUGACAUGCAUGGAUCUGCUCCAAGCCAAAGGAGGAGGAGAGGCAGAAGCAAUGAAAGGAGAGCAAAGGACGGUGGCAAUGCACCUUUUCAUGUCUUGUGCAUGUCUCAGGGUAUUUAGAAUACAUCCUUCAAAGGCUUAACUUCUCAGCGGAAAAACUAUGGGAGUUGUAGUUUGCAAAAGUAAUAUUUGGACAAGGAGUGGGAGAUGCAACUGAGAGGGUUCUAGCUUUUAUAGUUAGGACAGAGAACUUGAAACCAUGCCGGGAAUGUGUGCAAAAACAUGCCAGCAUUUCCAAACAGGGUGUAAUAAUAGCUCUGUACAUUCUGAUCGUGUUUUUGCUGUUGCCUUCUUUCUUUCUCUCUCUUUCUUUCUUUCUUUCAUUCCCUCUUUUUGUUGCUCAACCUUAAGCAAAUACAGACUGGAGAUCUCAGAUGACACAUGACCUUCUCGGGAAACAUCUUAGCAACUGCCGUCGGGAACCACGCUUCGGAAAUGGCAGAGCGAGUCCGACUGGUCCCGAGACGGUGUCCUGGAGCAACUUGAGUCGCUUCUGGAGUGAGAGAAUUGGCCAUCUGCAAGGACGUUGCCCAGCGGAUGCCCGGAUUUUUUUGAUGUUUUUACCAUCCUUGUGGGAGGCUUCUCUCAUGUCCCCGCAUGGAACUGGAGCUGACAGAGGGAGCUCAUCCGCGCUCUCCGUGAGUGGGAUUUGAACCUGGCAGCCUUCAGGUUCCUAUCGUUCCAAACAACCCUUAGGAAGGUGAACCCUCUCCGCAUACCUGGAUGAGUCAAAGGCCAAGGUCCGUCGAUAAGAGCGAUGUAGCCCGAGAGGAAGGUGACGAUCAGACCGUGCAUCAGCGUGAUCAACCUGACGGUCCAUUCUGGAGUGCGGCUCUUGUUCCAGGACCGGAUAGCAACGUAGAAGGAGAGCCAGAGGAGGAAGCUGCACACCACCCUGGCAACGAUGGCGAACAUCCUUUCAGCCCUGAAAGCGCAGAGAAGAACACAGCUGUUGUAUGAAUUAACGGAACCAGUUAAAGAAAGAACAACGCAGUGCAUGGGCAUUUUGCUCCUGGAACUUAGAGGAUUUUGCGUGGACUACAACUCCCAGUGUCCUGUAGAUGAUAUGGCUAGUGGGAUACGGUCAUGUUGGCUGGAGAAUAAUGUUGGCAGAAGCUGGGGCUAACAAUGGGAGCUCACCCCGCUCCCUGGAUACAAACUACCAACCUUUUGGUCAGCAAUUUCAGCAGCUCAGUGGUUUAACCCACUGAAAAUGGGAAACUGACCAGUCAAGUUUCCAAAACAAGGACCAGGGCCUCAGUUGUCACAAUGGUUCUCAAACUUUGGAAACUUUGUUUUAGGGCUUCAGCUCUCAGAAUUCCUGAUUGUUGGCCAAGCUGGCUGCAACUUCUGGGUGUUGAAGUCUAAAAUAUUUGGAGGAUCAACGUUUGGGAAUGGUUGAUGUAAAGGGAUGCCUUUUUAAAGAGCUGCGUAAUGAGACCAGUGACGGGGAACAUCUCAUGCUGAGUUGAUUUCGCAGUCAACUGAUCUCAUCCAUCACCUGAAUGACAGACGGAGAUGACUGAUGGGAAGAUUGUGCUUCUGAUGCAUACAUCCUGCUAUGGACAUGUAUGUAGGACAGUCAUCAUAACCAAAUCCCUGGAACUGAAUUGAACAAAUCCAAUUUUUGUUCCUGGGUUAUAACUGUAAUUUUCUAAUUGGUUCUAUCUUAAAAACAUUGGAAAAUUAUUAUUAUUAUUAUUAUUAUUAUUAUUAUUAUUAUUAUUAAACUUUAUUUAUAUUCCACCCUAUCUCCCCUGUAAAAACUUCGUAUUUGUGGAUCAUCUUGCAGCACAUUUUGCCCUAUUCUUCCAAUGAAUAUUUCAGGUUAUGGAUAUCUUUAAUAUGGUGCUUGUUGUAAUUUUUAAAUUUGUUUUAUUUGAUAUCUUAAUUGGAUUUUAAUCAGGAUAUGAUUUUUUAAUUGAUUAUGUAUUGCUGUUCAAUGUAUUUGCAUGGAUUUUAUAUGUUGUACGCCGCUUUGAAUCCCACCCACGGGAGAAAAGCGGGAUAGAAAUAAAAUAAUUAUAAUAAUAACAACAACAACAACAACAAUAAUAAUAACAAUAAUUGAGCCUCAACCCAUUCAACUUAAUUUGUGGCAUCCACAAACAUGAAACUUCUGGAGUAUAACAACUACUUUCAAAGUAAGCACCACACAAUUCAACAAGAAUAACACUUUCAAACCAGGAACAGAUUUUUUUUUUCAAAUUUUGUUACAUAGUGUUUUAAAUUUUCAUUGAUAUUAUUACUGUUAUAUUAACUCUUGUUUUUUUUGCCUUAUUGUGUUUUAUCUUUUGUAUAUUGUGUAAUGUAUUUAUGCUGAUCGGGCUUUGCCCCAUGUGAGCCGCCCCGAGUCCCCACGGGGAGAUGGUGGCGGAGUAUAAAUAAAGUUAUUAUUAUUAUUAUUAUUAUCA